rnacentral:rRNA from 1 species
CGUAGGGUCCGAGCGUUGUCCGGAAUUAUUGGGCGUAAAGGGCUCGUAGGCGGUUUGUCGCGUCGGGAGUGAAAACUCAGGGCUCAACCCUGAGCGUGCUUCCGAUACGGGCAGACUAGAGGUAUGCAGGGGAGAACGGAAUUCCUGGUGUAGCGGUGGAAUGCGCAGAUAUCAGGAGGAACACCGGUGGCGAAGGCGGUUCUCUGGGCAUUACCUGACGCUGAGGAGCGAAAGCAUGGGGGAGCGAACAGGAUUAGAUACCCUGGUAGUCCAUGCCGUAAACGUUGGGCGCUAGGUGUGGGGACCUUCCACGGUCUCCGUGCCGCAGCUAACGCAUUAAGCGCCCCGCCUGGGGAGUACGGCCGCAAGGCUA